CAGUAACCACGGGAAUACGUAGGUGGCAAGCGUUGUCCGGAAUUAUUGGGCGUAAAGGGCUCGCAGGCGGUUUCUUAAGUCUGAUGUGAAAGCCCCCGGCUCAACCGGGGAGGGUCGUUGGAAACUGGGAAACUUGAGUGCAGAAGAGGAGAGUGGAAUUCCACGUGUAGCGGUGAAAUGCGUAGAGAUGUGGAGGAACACCAGUGGCGAAGGCGACUCUCUGGUCUGUAACUGACGCUGAGGAGCGAAAGCGUGGGGAGCGAACAGGAUUAGAUACCCCAGUAGUCCCUGUCUCUUAUAC
rnacentral:rRNA from 1 species